GAUGAACGCUGGCGGCGUGCUUAAUACAUGCAAGUCGAGCGAAGCACUUUAACGGAAUUCUUCGGAAGGAAGAUAAAGUGACUGAGCGGCGGACGGGUGAGUAACGCGUGGGUAACCUGCCUUAUACAGGGGGAUAACAGUUAGAAAUGGCUGCUAAUACCGCAUAAGCGCACAGGACCGCAUGGUCUGGUGUGAAAAACUCCGGUGGUAUAAGAUGGACCCGCGUCUGAUUAGCUAGUUGGUGGGGUAACGGCUCACCAAGGCGACGAUCAGUAGCCGGCCUGAGAGGGUGAACGGCCACAUUGGGACUGAGGCACGGCCCAGACUCCUACGGGAGGCAGCAGUAGGGAAUAUUGCACAAUGGGGGAAACCCUGAUGCAGCGACGCCGCGUGAAGGAAGAAGUAUCUCGGUAUGUAAACUUCUAUCAGCAGGGAAGACAAUGACGGUACCUGACUAAGAAGCCCCGGCUAACUACGUGCCAGCAGCCGCGGUAAUACGUAGGGGGCAAGCGUUAUCCGGAUUUACUGGGUGUAAAGGGAGCGUAGACGGACGGGCAAGUCUGAAGUGAAAGGCAGGGGCUCAACCCCUGGACUGCUUUGGAAACUGUCCAUCUAGAGUGCCGGAGAGGUAAGCGGAAUUCCUAGUGUAGCGGUGAAAUGCGUAGAUAUUAGGAGGAACACCAGUGGCGAAGGCGGCUUACUGGACGGUAACUGACGUUGAGGCUCGAAAGCGUGGGGAGCAAACAGG
rnacentral:rRNA from 1 species